UGCUCUACGUCUCUCUUUUUUUUUUUUCCUCUACAGCUUAAACUGAGUCUGCUGGCUUGUUCCAACUGUAUGUAGGACAAGUACACCUUGUGCAAUGGAGCACUGAAAAAAAUGGGAUAAAUGGUGGCAAAAUGUUAUUUGUCCUGAAAGUUUCAUAUGAAAUGGAUCUUCUGAAAACCACUUUGCUCUGAAAUACCCAGAACCCACCUGGUUUUAGAUGUCCAUUUGCUGACCUGCGGAAAUUUUCUUGCUGGUUAUACAUGCUUCAUUCCUGUGUCCAGGAGUCCCACUGCUGGCAAAUUCUGAUACUUUCCAUAUGCAAGCGUAGUCUGUGAGAAUUUUUCUGUACCCUGUCAUAUAUGUAAAUGGAUGAAUUUGUUAUUUAUAAUGCAAUGGAACCAAAAUGAGUGCAAUGGAAUUGUGACACAACAAAAAAGGUUCUGGCACUUAGCGUAGAAAUUUCCAAAUUUUCUGUGGUAGUAGCCUUUACU